rnacentral:rRNA from 1 species
GACGAACGCUGGCGGCGUGCUUAACACAUGCAAGUCGAGCGGAAAGGCCACUUCGGUGGUACUCGAGCGGCGAACGGGUGAGUAACACGUGAGUAAUCUGCCCUUCACUUCGGGAUAGCUCCGGGAAACCGGGAUUAAUACCGGAUAUGAGCAUCGGCCGCAUGGUCUGGUGUUGGAAAGUUUUUUCGGUGGGGGAUGUGCUCGCGGCCUAUCAGCUUGAUGGUGGGGUAAUGGCCUACCAUGGCUUCGACGGGUAGCCGGCCUGAGAGGGUGACCGGCCACACUGGGACUGAGACACGGCCCAGACUCCUACGGGAGGCAGCAGUGGGGAAUAUUGGACAAUGGGCGGAAGCCUGAUCCAGCAACGCCGCGUGAGGGAUGACGGCCUUCGGGUUGUAAACCUCUUUCAGCGCCGACGAAGCCUUCGGGUGACGGUAGGUGCAGAAGAAGGACCGGCCAACUACGUGCCAGCCGCCGCGGUAAAAC